UUUUCAAUGUUUUGGUUGUCAAUAACGUGCCUUGUGAGAUUUGUAAAGUGCAUUCAUGAAUAAAUCUUUAUUUACCAUGCGGAUUAGGCACUAAACCUAGGCAAAAAGAUUUACAUAGUAAGAGGAUACAAAAAUCGAUUUUAGAAUGCUACUUUGACCGGUGUUUUGAAAAAUAUGGUUUAAAACGAUCUUUUGAAAACUUGAUGUGAUUUCUGAAUGGUUUUAAGGAACCGAGAGAUUCGAGAGUAGGUCGGUUGUCACUUCGAUUAAUUGUGACCCUUAUGCAUAAGCGAGCUCGAGCUAGAGAACCUUUGGGUAGCCGACAGGCUGGUAGACAUGGUUGGGGCCAAUGUAUGUGAUUUUACGUGGCUAGGCCACAAAUGAUCAUAUACGGUUGCGACCGGUUGAUUUUUCUCUGACAGGCUAGUAGAUAACCAUGGCAUGUAGGGAUCCGGUGGAGCGGAGCUCUUGGAUGAUAUGACAUGGAAGUGGGUCCACGUGUUGCUAUUUUUGUACCUAUUAGAGAGUGAACUCUUUUGGUUUUCACAUAAGUGAUCAGCUUUAGGAUUGUGUUCCAUAUCUCGAAUGUGACUACGCCCUAGGUACAGCAUCUAUAGAUUUCCACUCCUAAUCGCUCUAUUGCUUAAUGGUCAUUGUGUAUAAAAUAAUCCGAGUUGUAAAAAUCGAUAGUCUUUAGAGAUGUAAAUACUAAAGCGUAAGACUAGGUGGGAAUGCUUAAAUACUAUGACGGGUUGUAUGUAUAGUUAUUAAAUUUAGAUGUUUGUAUCUAAUAGUUAUGUUUUAAUCAAUGUAAAUAUUUGAUGCAAA